GAUGAACGCUGGCGGCGUGCCUAAUACAUGCAAGUCGAGCGAACAGACGAGGAGCUUGCUCCUCUGACGUUAGCGGCGGACGGGUGAGUAACACGUGGAUAACCUACCUAUAAGACUGGGAUAACUUCGGGAAACCGGAGCUAAUACCGGAUAAUAUAUUGAACCGCAUGGUUCAAUAGUGAAAGACGGUUUUGCUGUCACUUAUAGAUGGAUCCGCGCCGCAUUAGCUAGUUGGUAAGGUAACGGCUUACCAAGGCAACGAUGCGUAGCCGACCUGAGAGGGUGAUCGGCCACACUGGAACUGAGACACGGUCCAGACUCCUACGGGAGGCAGAAGUGGGGAAUCUUCGGCAAUGGGCGAAAGCCUGACGGAGCCACGCCGCGUGGGUGAAGAAGGUCUUCGGAUCGUAAAACUUUUUUAUUGGGAAAGAAAAAAUGUAAAAGAAUAUAUCCCCGUCUUGACGGUACCUAAUCAAAAAGCCCCGGCUAACUUCGGG
rnacentral:rRNA from 1 species